GCACCAGGCUAAUUUUUUGUAUUUUUAGUAGAGACGGGGUUUCACCGUGUUAGCCAGGAUGGUCUCGAUCUCCUGACCUCGUGAUCCGCCCACCUUGGCCUCCCUAUUUACUUUUUUCUACAUUCAAUGAGAGCGUCAACAUCUCUAGGCAAGAAGUCUCAUUCAUAUUUCUGUCCCCAGGACCCCAGACCAGUGACUCAGUGGGUAGUGGUGUUGAUUUUGUACCCCAGGGAACAUUUGGUAAUGUCUGCAGACCUUUCUAGUUGCCACAACGUGGGGCGGGGUGUGCUACUGGCUUCUAGUGGGUAAUAACAAGGAUGCUGCUACCCCUGCAGAACACACAAGAGAGUCCCUGACAUCAGAGAAUUCCCCAGCCCCAAAUCGGUGAUGCCAAGGCUGAGACCCUGCCUGAGUAUAAUGACUAACAAAGUUAAGUGUUCAAUAUAUAGUUUUUUGGGUAAAUUUCAAGUCGUAUACCAACAACCUCCACCAAACGACAAUCCCUAAAAGAUAACGUUUGCUUAUCUUUCAAAACCCAGCUCAAGCAGCACCACCUCCUAGAAGCCUUUCUGACACCAUCAGACAGCAUUUUUUUUUUCUUUUUAAAAAUCCUAGUAAAAUAUUGGCUUAUUUUACUUUCUCUUCACCCUUUUCCUAGUCAGCUCUGCUCAGGGAAUGCAAAUGUCAGCCUAAGGAUGACACUAUUAGGCCAAAAGUAUGUUUCUUCAAAAGCAAUGUGAAACAUUUCAAAGUUAAAAAAAAAAAAAAAAAAGGAAAAACCUGUGAAUUUUCCAUGGCUUUGUAGCUGGGAUUUAAAUCCUAAGUUUCCAGUCACAAGCAAUUAUCCAGCUUUUAAUGAAAUGCAAGCCUUCUAUCUAGUUGCUAAAUCUCCUGAGAUGGUUUCUGGUUUCUUCAGUUCUCAGUAGAAAUUCUUUUUUUUUUUUAUAGACAGGUUUAUUGAGGUACAAUUUACAUACAGUAAAAUUCACUCUUGUUAAGUGGAUAGUUCUAUUUGUUUUGACAAAUGUACAGUGGUGUAAACAUCACAAAAACAAACUAAGCACACACAAAGUGUUAAUAGUAAAUGUUUUACAUUUUACCACAUUUAUUUAUUUGUUUGUUUGUUUAUUUAUUUGAGACGGAGUCUUGCUGUAUCACCCAGGCUGGAGUGCGAUGGUGCAAUCUCGGCCCACUGCAACCUCCACCUCCCAGGUUCAAGUGAUUCUCCUGCCUCAGCCUCCCGAGUAGCUGGGAUUACAGGUUCAUACCACCAGGCCCGGCUAAUUUUUGUUUUUUUAGUAGAGACGAUGUUUCACCAUGUUGGCCAGCCUGGUCUCAAACUCCUGACCUCAAGCGAUCUGUUUGCCCCGGCCUCUCAAAGUGCUGAGAUUACAGGCGUGAGCCACUGUGCCUGGCCUAAUUUUUAUUUUUAUUUUUUUUUUUCAAGAAGCCUGUCUUGCUUUUGUGCAGUUAAGCCCCUUCCCUCUUCACACGAGGGGAAGAGGCAAGGGCCCUGAGAACACCUGAGAGCACCUGACGGGUGGGUUUCUGAGCUGGUACUUUUGCUUUUUCCAGAAUGUUAUAGAAAUGGAAUCAUAUAACGGUGUGUGGUAUUUCAUGCCUAACUUCUUUUGCUUCACGUAAUGCCUCUGAGUUUCAUCUAUGUUGUUGGAGGUAUCCAUAGUUUGUUCUUUUUAUUGCUUUUUAUUCCAUUGUAUGGAUGUAGCACAGCUUCUUUAAUUCAUGAGUCGAUAGGUAUUUGGUUUGCUUCCAGUUUUUGGAGAUGAUGGAGAUUAUGAAUAAAUCUGCUCUAAGUAUUUGCAUACAUGGUUUCAUUGGGACAUAAAUUUUUGUUUUUCCUGGAUAAUAGGAGUGAGAUUGUUGGGUCUAUGGUAAGUACAUCUUUAACUUUUAUAAGAAGCUACCAAACUGUUUUCCAAAGUGCUUGUGCUGUUUCACCAUCCCAUUAGCAAUGGAUGACAGUCCCAGCCACUUCACCUCUCUGCCACCACUUAAAAUUGUCAGUGGUGGCCAGACAUAGUGACUCAUGCUGGUAAUCUCAGCACUUUGGGAGGCUGAGACGGGAGGAUCACUUGAGUCCAGGAGUUCAAGACCAGCCUGGACAGUACAGUGAGACCUUGUCUGUACAAAAAAAAAAAAAAAAAAUUAGCCGGGCAUGGUGGUGCAUGCCUAUAGUCUCAGCUACUCAGGAGGCUGAGGUGAGAGGAUCAUUUGAGCCUGGGAGGAGGACACUGCCAUGAGCCAAGACUGUACCACUGCACUCCAGCCUGAGCAACAGAGCAAGACCUUAUCUCAAAAAAAAAAAAAAAAUUGCCAUUUUCAUUUCCCUGAUGACUAAUGAUGUCAAGCAUUUUUAAUGUGCUUAUUUGCCAUCCAUAUAUCUUCAGUGGUUAUGCGCUUAUUGAAAUCUUUUGCUCACGUUUUAAUUUGGCUGUUUUCUGUGAGUUUUGAGAGUUCUCGAUAUAUUUUAGAUACAAGCCCAUUAUUAGAUUUGUAAU
rnacentral:lncRNA from 1 species